GACGAACGCUGGCGGCGUGCUUAACACAUGCAAGUCGAACGGAAAGGCCCUGCUUUUGUGGGGUGCUCGAGUGGCGAACGGGUGAGUAACACGUGAGUAACCUGCCCUUGACUUUGGGAUAACUUCAGGAAACUGGGGCUAAUACCGGAUAGGAGCUCCUGCUGCAUGGUGGGGGUUGGAAAGUUUCGGCGGUUGGGGAUGGACUCGCGGCUUAUCAGCUUGUUGGUGGGGUAGUGGCUUACCAAGGCUUUGACGGGUAGCCGGCCUGAGAGGUUGACCGGCCACAUUGCGACUGAGAUACGGACCAGACUCCUACGGGAGGCAGCAGUGGGGAAUAUUGCACAAUGGGCGGAAGCCUGAUGCAGCAACGCCGCGUGCGGGAUGACGGCUUUCGGGUUGUAAACCGCUUUCGCCUGUGACGAAGCGUGAGUGACGGUAAUGGGUAAAGAAGCACCGGCUAACUACGUG
rnacentral:rRNA from 1 species